UGCUUACCUUCUUUAUUAGAAACAUUUCCAGCAGACUCUCCUCCUCAUUCACACCCUAAGGCCUCGGUGAAAUCCUAGUUCCUGACAACUCACCCUCAUAAGAAGAGGCUAGGACAUCACCAAGAGGCUAUUCCAAGAAAAUUGUGGCAUUCUUAAAUUAAUCAGACAGGAAGAUGAGGGAGGCUGUUAUAUUUCUCUAUGAAAUUUUACGUGCAGGAAGAGACACACCAAGAGAAACUGUUACCAAGUUCCAGGCCACGGACAACACAAGGUGCUUGGUGAGCUCUAAAUGGUACCUGCUUUCUGCUGGUAAACAUAAAAUGAAUUUGUGAUGGAAAGAAUUCACCCGUGAAGGCUGCCCGUCUCUGGGAAGAAGGAAGACAGAGAAUUUUGAGGUUCCAGGGGACAAGUAUAUCUCACAGCUGGAAAGAGGAAAGGAUGAAGACAAAAUUUGAACACAAGACUUAAAACAACUAAAUUAUCUCUAAGUAUUCUUAAGUAAUUUGAGUUAUAUUUGUCCUUCCCAAAACAACAAGACUCUAAGCCACCCAAGGGCAAGGGCUGAAGGGUAUCAUCUAUUUAUUCUGAAUCACCUUGAACAUCUUGACAUGGACUCUAUAUGAAACAUCUGUCGAAAAGGCAUUGAUGACUACAUCAAAGGAGAUAGAAAAUCACAGCUCCUUGAAAAUUGUUAUCAUUUUCUUUCAGAAGUGAUCAUUAUCAUUUUUGAGGAUGAAAAUGUAGGGAUUGGUGUCAUAUCUUUUUUAUUCCAGUGGGAACUGUCAAAAGUGUUUUGUUUUUGAUGCUUCUUUCUGAAUGAUUGAGAAAUGCUAAUCAUUUCAAAAAACAGAACAAAGACCAAGGCAUAUAAAGCCUUGAUAGAUUUUAUUUUAUUUUUUUUGAAAAUUCUUAUUUCUGAUGGAAAGGGAAUGAAGGAAAGGAAUAAGGCAAAUCAUGUUUCUCUGUAUGACACUGACAGCAUUAAUGCUGCCAGUUCUUCAUCCUACAGAAAGAAGGUUGUGUGGAUAUUAAUGCUCUCUCUGGAGAUGGGAAUAUGCCUCAUGUUGCUUAAGAUCAAUAUUUACCUUCGCAGACACUGAAGACAGAAUGGACUCUUUAAAAUUGACAUCAAAGUUCCAUUAACAUGUGCUUUCACAAAGAAAUGUCCUACUUUCUAGGCAGCAUUGCAAGUGCAUGGUAUUUCAUAUGUCUAUUGUUUUAGGCACUGAAAGGCCGGAAGAAAAAGGCUUGCUCUUCCAUUGCGCCUCUGCAUUUCAGGGAGCAGAUUCUGUAGAGUGCUCCAAAAUGAUAAUGAAGUCAAUGAUGAAGCAACGGGGACUUUAAGUAGUUAACGUCCCUCUGUAAGUGCCAAAAUCACUGUAUCAGGGAUUUGUCCACACAAGGAAUUCAGCUUUUUAUUUCUUACAAAUAAUGUGCUGCCAUGAAGAGAAACACAAAUACUCAUUCUGAAAUACUCUAUAGCAAAAUCUGCAAAGCUUAACAUCUGCAAAUUUUCUCCUUAACAUCUAUUUUUCAUAUGCUCCAUUGCUCCUUUUUAUUUUUGAAUAAUAAAAAAAUGCAAAAGAAAAUAACAGCAAAUUAAGCAGAGAUCCAGAAUUGGCAUGCAAAAUACCUGGUGUUUUCAACCAACAUUUAUCUUCACCCCAUUGUGGAGAGCUCAAUAAAUGCUAUUUGAAUAUGUUAUCAAUCAUCUAACAUAUUAGCGUGGAGAGAUGAUGCCAAACUGCUUUCACCUUUAAAAUACCUAAUUCUGGAAAGGACACGUGACUGUACAUAAAACAACCUCAUUUUCCCCCAUUAAUUAGACCUGGGCAGAUCAUUUAAUGGCAGGAAAUUAUGAUGGAGUUCAUUUUAUCAUUUAGCAGUUCAAUUAUACAGCAAUUCACAUAUAUAGGCAUAUAUGUGUUACUAUAUAUGCAUAGAUAUAUAUUAUUAACUUAUGUCUUGCCAUUGAACUGAGAAUAAAAUCCAAUGUCCUCACUGUAAAUUCAAAGGUCCUUCAUGAUUGAGCCCUGGUGUAUCUUUCUGACUUCACUUCCGACCACUCUCGUCCUCCCUCCCUGUGUUCCAGCCACACUCACUUUCCUUCUGUUUUUUGAACACAUGCAGCUCAUUCUGCUUAUGCGCUUUGCAGCUGCCUGUUCCACUGCCUAUAACAUCCUCACCUAAUACGGCAUGUAGGACUUUGCUCAAAUAGGUCUCUGCUCUCCCUUGGCCCUCUGUGUAGCAGCAGCACCCUUCUUCAUCACUGUAUCACUACUAGAGCAAUUAUCCAAAAUUAUCUUAUAUAGCCAUAUUCUUUUGUCUGUGCCUACUAAAAUGUAAGCUCCUUGAGAAGUCAAACCUUGUUUCUUUUAUUCACUCUUACUUUCUCAGCACCUAGGAUUUUUUUUUAAUAAAAUGCAUUUUAAUUACUAUAUGUUCUUCAAUAAUGAUUUGGAAUAUAGAGAAAACUCAAGGGAAAAAUCAUUCAUAAUCUUUUCUUUCUACUGUAAGUUCAGUUAAUUCAGAUGUAUUUCCUUCCAGUAUUUUUCCUCUAUUUAAAUUAUAAUGUUUAUUCCAACUCGCAUCUUACUGUUUCUUAAUGCUUAUGUCUGCCUAUGUCAGAAUCAUCCUGACUCAUUUGAGUGCCACAACAAUCCUGUGGAACAGCAAAACCAAGCUAUUAUUAACAAAUUACAAAUAAGGAAACUGAAACUCAUGAAGGCUAAAUGUCUUUCUUGCGCAAUGUCACCCACUCUGAGUCUAGGUUUGGCUCAUCUCUCAACUUUAUUGUCCAGAAUUUCUAUUCAUAAAUGAUCUGCUCAUUUUUCCUCACAAAGCAUGACCUUCUUUAUCACCAUCCCUUCAUUCCAUUGAUACUAAAUCUCUUUUCAGCUACUUAAAUCUUUCCCUUUAUAUCCUGCCUCUUUUGAUAAAUCUGGACAAUCUCAAUUCUCUAUACUUUUUCUCUUAAUAUGUAUUUACAAUUCAGAUCUCUGUCAUCAUUUCACACUUGGCAUAUGAUAUCUAAAUAGCUCAUAAAAAAUUAAUGGAAGUAUUCUGUCUAAUUCAACAUGUAUUUCUUCUUUGCAAUCCCAGUGCCUAUAUCUUCUGAUGUCUGUCCUCAUAGUUCAACUGAAUCAUAUGGAUAAUAAGAACCAUAUUUGGUUCAUCUUGUUUCCUUCCUCCAAACCAUGCCCAUGUGUCUAUACAUACUUAAAAAAUGGAUCAUUCAACAUAUGUUUAUACAGCUCCUUUGUACCAGGCGUUUUUUAAGGUCCUGAGGAUACUGCAAAUAAAUAAAACUAAAAUCUCCCUGUUCUCUUUGCAUUUCCAUUAUGGUAAUUUUACUAAAAAAAAUGGCAUCAAAAUGUAUAAGUGUUAAAAUAAAG
rnacentral:lncRNA from 10 species